AGGGUGCUGGCAAGUGCGGGUGCGAGCCAGUGGUUGGUGGGCCUGGUGUGUUGGGCGGGCGGGCCGGAGGCCGGGUCGCCUGAGCACGCGGCUUUCGGCGCCCUGACCCACGCUCGGCUGGUGGCUCUGUGGAGGGACACGGCGGGGGCUCCAAGCGGCCGCACGGCGGGGAGCGGCGGCGGCGGCCUCAGGUCCUGAGUCUCUAUAGAAGCUGAAAUCCAUCAAUCUCCGUUCUUCAAAAUGCAAUGGAAUGUACCAAAGACUGUAUUCCGACUGGCACAUAGGACAUGCGUGGAACCAGAUAAAGCUGGUCAUUUGGGACACUGUCAAAACAUGAAGGGACCAUUACUUUUGUAUACCUCGGAAUCCAGCGUGGUUUGGGUACAGGGCCCUCAGAAACGAUGGCUGCACUUACGUGCUGCCCAGUGUUUUGCAAAGGAAAGGAAGCCAUUCGUUGCUCACCCACCCCAACCAGGGGUCCUUCAUAAACAGUGGGAGCAGGAUAUCUUAUCCAAGAGGGUUCUGUCAUCCAGUGCUGCAUCCCCAGGAACUCCCUCUGAAAAAAAGGAAGAACCUGAUCCUUUACAAGACAGAUCAAUUAGUCUUUAUCAACGGUUUAAGAAAACAUUUAGACAAUAUGGAAAAGUUUUGAUUCCAGUGCAUCUAAUAACUUCUGGUGUUUGGUUUGGAACGUUUUAUUAUGCAGCCAUGAAAGGAGUGAAUGUCGUUCCUUUUCUAGAACUUAUUGGGUUACCUGACAGCGUAGUAAACAUUCUGAAAAAUUCCCAGAGUGGAAAUGCACUAACAGCAUAUGCCCUGUUUAAGAUUGCAACGCCCGCGCGGUACACGGUGACCCUGGGGGGGACCUCCUUCACUGUGAAGUAUCUGCGCAGCCGUGGCUACAUGUCGACGCCACCUCCUGUGAAGGAGUAUCUGCAGGACAGGAUGGAGGAGACAAAGGAGCUCCUCACAGAGAAGAUGGAGGAGACAAAGGACAGACUCACUGAAAAACUGCAAGAAACCAAAGGAAAGGUUUCUUUUAAGAAAAAAGUGGAAUAGAGUGCCUUAUAUACCAGGUUAUAGACAGUUCCUGCACUUUAACCCUUGGGGACUGUGGACAAAGGUACAUGCUCUUGAUUAUUUUUUUGGUUAGCAGCCUAAAUAUAGCAGUUCUCUGAGGGUUAAAGAACUAAGAUAACUUUUUAAAGUUAAACAUCACUAGAAAAAUCAGUGUUUUUUGAAAAGAAAAAAUGAACCCAGUAUAAGAAUUUCAUGUCAGUAGCAGCGUUAAGCAGUGGUCCAUGUCUUCAGUCAUCCUUGCUUUGUGUUUAGAUAGCUGCUGACUCCUUGAAUAGCUGGUGCGUCCCUACACAGAUUUAACACUAGGUCUUCAUCUUUGUUAUUCUUUGAGGUUUUAACGAUAUUCACUUCUCAAUGUGGAGACAAACUGUUAUCAUCAGAACUGCCUGUGAAUAAGAGGAUAUUUAGUCUUUCUCUAAAGAUAGUAUAUAAUGGUUACAUACCAGUUAAAAUGUAGACUUCAUAUAAAGAAAGCUGAAUGAAAAUUGGGUCAUAUAUAUGUAAAUAAGAUGUAUUGGUUAUAUGUAAAUGAAAAAUUGACCCUUUAAAAAUGAUUUUUACCUGAAGCUUGCCAUAAUCAAAUUUUUUAAGCAAAUCUGUGCGGUCAUGGCACUUUCUCACCCGGAAUGUAAAACUGUUAUUCCUGCAUCAUGUCCUCUCCAACUGAUCUCUCAGAGGAAAAGGGAAAAUCAUUACACCUUAAGUUUAUGGUGGAGAUCAGACACCCUUAGCAGUACCUGGAGCUUGUGGUUCUCGGCAGUGCAGGUUUGGGAGGAUGGGACCUGCCUGUCCCUGCCACCUGGUCUCUACCAGCCAGAGUCGGUCUUGAUUCCAUUAUGGAGUAAAAUUUUAAGAUUGUAGCUGCUGUUUUCCUCUUGCAUUGAAACAUCCUUACUUGAGCAUUUUACUUGAAUUUUUUAAAUAGCAAAGCUGUCAUUAAAACCUGCUUGGAAUGAAAUUCAGUCGUUGUCAGAUGUGAAAGUCGCCACAAUUUGUGUGGGUGUGUUUGAGGAUGUGUUUGUGUGUUUCCUUUUGCUCUAACUGCCUUUACUUCAGUUCUAACCUUUGAAUUGAGAGAGGGAACGGCCUCUUUCUAGAUUGUCUUUGUUGUGAGUGAUCUGAUAAGGCCGCAGGCAUCACUGCUGUGAGGCAGGGUUUUCGUAUUAAAUACUGAGUUUGGCCAAACUUAGAGAAUACUUUAAAGGGAAAAAAAUGUUUGCAUUUUGAUACGUCUCAUCAUUAUAUUGGCUGUGCUGUGGUUGGACUCUUCUUUGUGGGGGUGGGUGGAGUGGUGAGGGGGCAGGGCUCACUCUGCCACAUGCAGGCCCGAUCAGGCAGGAUGGUUUGUCUCUUGAUACAGAUCGAACGUGUGAUUUCAAAUUGACAGCACAUUUUCAAAUCCAAAAACAGUGAACAUGUUUUAGCUUGUUUAUUAAAUAAUUCACAUUUUUGCAUAUAUUAAAUGCUAAGAUGGAUAUUAACAAAUUUCUUGUUUGUUUAUUUUUAACCACUGAGACUGCUUGGUUUAAAAUCAUGUGUUAUAUGAAACUUUCUUUUUACUUUUCACGUUGCAUAGGGCGUGUUUUCCAAUGAGGGUAAAUUGUGGGUCUUAGAAGCACUAAUAACCCUGAGUUUCCACCUUUGGUUCAGCCCGUUUGAGAUUUGUUGCCAUCCAGUUUCAUAACUGUGUUGUGUUUGUCCAGUUACAGAAAGUGAGAUACUAGGGAGUGCUUUGAAAUUCUCUAGUAAAACAUUCUCUGAAGGUGUAAGAAGUUCUUUUGUCAUUAUUUAGUAUCAGGAAUAUCUGAUCUUGUCAAAUGCUGCUGCUCUCAUCUUGCUAACCUAGUCCUUAAGGGAAGCUACAAAGAGCCGAAAGGGGGACCCCUGGAAUAUGCGUGUGGAGUAUUUGUAGCAGGCCAACAGCACAUAGUGGGCAUUGAGUUAAAUUAUCCGGGUGUGUGUGUGGUAAAUAUCAUAACCAUUUCAUUUACAAUAAGCCUUAUACUUGCUGUGUCUGGUGUGCACAUCUGUAUUUAAGUAGGAUUGUUGACAGGGUAAAGAGGGAGCCAUGGCUGAGAUUUAAUUUAACACCUAUAAAAUAGAUAAAAAGUGUUUGCUCAGCAAAUUAACAAUUGAAAUGAAAAAUAGAUUAGGUAAAAAAAAGACUUAGUUUAUUCAAGAAAAAUAGCAAAACCAACCUUUUAAAGUACCACAAAAAUGUCUCUCACUGAACCAGCAUUUUGCAUACAGUAGGGUGCUAUUUGCAGAUUCCAACAAAGGAGAAAGAGUUCAUGUAUUAAGGUCACCUUCCUGCCACUAGUGAAAAUAAUAAAACUAUGCCUUCAAAUAUAAUCUUCAGCUUAUUUGUUAUAGAAUCUGCCUUCCAUUUAUUUACAGAUGGAAGAUGUUACUGUAGUCCUUUAUGCUCUAGGAAGCAGUGGAGCUAUUGGCUGUCUUAUUUCAGUGACCUCAGAAGGUAAUUCCAGGAAUUUUAUAAACAUCUUAACAGUUUGGGCAGAAGAGGUGUUUGAAGAAAAGAAGCAAGUUGUACGUUAGACAUAUCUAGCUCUUUCUUGUGUUCUUUCCACUUGGUUCAUCUUCAGGAUUUCUUAUCCAAAUUCAGAUGUUCUGAACAAAGCCACUGUAGAAGAUUGUAGAGUAUGGUGAUGGUAAUGAAAUGGACAGAAAAUGUUUUAGCAGAUGAGUCAGAAAGAGUACAUGCAUCUUUCCUGAUACCUUUGAGAUGAUACCGUUUUUAUAAAAUGCAUUGGUGAGAUAUACAUUUCUGAAUUAUUAAAGGAUUCUGUCUGAAAAAUACUUGCUUUCAUGGUAAUAUAGACGUAUUUCUUCUGUUGGCUACAGCUUACUUUGUAAAAUGGGGACCUUCAUUUAUUUCAGAUUUUCAAAAUUGAAUCUCCAUAGGGAAAGAUAUGGAGUUAGUUUAGAAGAAAGUAAAAUACAUUUAGAUUAAGUGUUACCAACAUUGGUUUGAAGUAGUUUUUGGUAUUAGAUGCUUACUCAGUUGGCUUUUCCCGAGCCAUGGUCUACGGUGCGUCCAGUCACAUUGGCCUAGAGGCCGGAGUUGCACAGGAGUGUUCAUAAAAAGUGUGGGCCUCUCUACUGCCUUGGAAUUUAACCACCUGAACCAGAAAUCUGCAGAACCAGAGGUGGGUGCUUUUAAUUAUUCAUUCUGCAAAUAGGAGCUUUGUUUGGUCUCUCUUGGUCCAUCUGUAUAUUAUGGAGUACCCAAAAGAUUCUGCCUCCUUGACCCAAAGGAACAACAGAGGCAAGAAUUCUCCUUCCCUUAGAGACUUGGCCAGAAUUCGUCUUCAGCCGUGAAUUUUGGCCUGGCUUUCUGAUUUUUGAAAGAUAUUUGUCCUGCAUUUUGAGCUUGUAACUUACAUUUGAGAAAUGCUAAGUUUGUGCCAAUUGGGUAUAGUUUUCCAAACUCUUUGAGAUUUUUUUCCUUUGUGACUUCCAUGUCAAGCUGGUUCAUUUUAACUCAUUAAAACAAGUUUUUGGUUGUCUUGCUUCUUCAGGGUUAGGCUUUGAAAAUCAAGCUGUAUUCUUCCCCGUAAAUCGCUGGCAGCCACCAACAGUAAUGAUGACAGAUCAUAAUUAUCUUGUGGUAGUUAUCUGGCUAUUUUGAUAAGAAUGAUUCUCUCAGCAGAGAGAAUGCGGCUUGACUUCAGAAGCCUUCUGGGCAGAGUAUGACGUUAUUCCGCUGACUUGGACAGUGCUCGUGGGAAGUGCACAGGCAGCCCCAAAGUCCUCCUCAGCACUUGUGGUUUCUCUCUACAGGUAAGAGGGCUCAUAGAGCCUGAGACGAACAGAAAGCACUUUCACGUUGUGUUUUCUCUGGGACAGCAUGGUCCAUAAGAGCAGAAGUUGUAAGACAGGUCAGAGAUGUUCCACGUGUAGCCACGAUAUAUUCUCAUUCUUCCCGACUGUGAGGAAUGCAUAGAACCUUUCUUCCUUCUUUCCUUACCUCUCCCUCCCUCCCUAUGUCCAGCUUUUUCUGCUUUGAAUUUUGACCAUUUUAAAUGGUAGAAAACUCUCUUUGAAUUGAAAAAGAAAAAGGCGAGUUUGCAUGCAAGCAUGCCUGGUUGUCCUGCGGUAGCCGGUAUGUGGUUCUCCGUCCCUCUGGUGGGCAGGCGCCAUGGCCCGCUCCUCAGUAAGAGUGGGACAGAUAGCUUGCAGGUGUUUCCUGACUUUCUAAUCAGGUACCUGUUGAAAGUAAGCCUUUUACUCCAUUUGGGUAAUUUCAUAAGGUUACUUUUAAGUGUACCAUAUAUGAAAUAUAUCUAAUAUAAUCUACAUGAAAUCUACCUAGUAUAAUCUAAAUAGGGUAAAACAGUGAGAUGUUUCAGCUCCUUAACACUAAUUGAGGGUUUGUUUGUUUUUAAAAAAAAAGAACAUACAGCAUUUCCUCUGUAUACACAAGUAUUAAGCUGUUAUUUUGUAUUCACCUUUAAGUACGAGAUUUGAGAUUCUGUAAUGAUUUGAAGCACAUUUUGACUAAUUUGUAUUUUAUUGAAUUUGAGUCAGUAUUUCUUUGGACACAAUCUUGCGACUUAAUUAUGGCUGUUGCUUUACUUUUCUAAGAAUAGUGGCUGUUUGGGUUCUCUCUUUGCAAGGGUCCCAAAGGCAUAGUUUGUCCAGUCCUCAAACACUGACUGCCCUGCCAUUCACCUUGGUCUGGAGGUAGUUACAGGGCUUGGUUGCCAUCGUGCUCCAUCACCAUGUACUUGUUAUUCUCCUCCUGAAGAAGAUGGAAGAUACGGUAGGUUGCAAUUGCAUUCCUCACUUCUUUUGGUUUGGAAAUAAGGGACAAGUCUUACUUUCCAAAAAAAGUUGAAAAUAUUAUUAUCAGUCAAACACUUGUCCACAAAACCUAAUGCAACUUCUGUUGAGAAAUCUAGAUCAUUUUGUAACUGCAUUAUUUUGGAAGCAUUUUAGAUUAAUAGAAGUUUUCUCAGUCAUAAACCCAAUUUUCCCUCUAGUGGGUCACUUCAGAAUGUUGAGGCCAGUAGUUGUAGUUGAAGAAAGGUGCAGGAGAGCCGGGUCAGACAUUCAAAUCCAGGAACUAAGUAAGAGUGAUAUUUCAUUAUCCAAAGAGGAUUCAGCCUCAGAAAAUACCCCAUCCUCCCUUGGUAAGAAAGUGAGUUUGCUUUUCCUACUGCGCUUGUGUGGAGGGUCAUGGUGGUGGUCACAGCACCUGAGCCUGCAUUUGUGACACUUGGAACAGCUCAGAUUGGAAUUUUCCUUUUCCUUUUCCUUGGGGUCAAUCGGUGGAACAUCUGAAGCAUCAGGAGCUGGCUUUUGUGGUAACUUUUCACACUGGGAAGUUCAGUGUAUCCCUGACUAAGAACUGUUAGGCUGGCCUCUCUGGGAGUGGAGAACGUGUGUGUGUGAGGUUUACGGGAGGUUGACAGGUAAAACCAUGUGCUCGUGGAUGGUUCCAGAAGAAAGGGAGUGUGCCAACAUUGGUGAAGAGCAUGCAUACGUGGUACAGGAUCCCGGCACCGGGAGCCUGAGGUCCAUGCGGUUUCCUUGAGGCCGUGACAGCGCUCAGAUCAGUGUUAGCUCCCCCACCCCUCACAGAAAGGAAGCCAGAGAAGGAAAAAAUGGGGGCAAGGUGGGAAAUUAUUUUUUUUAAACUAUUCUCCCUUCAGAUUUUCACAUUUUAUUGCUAAGGUUGUAAGAACACUCUCCAACACACACACACAACGUGGUUUGUUAACCAAAAAAGCUGUCCACAUCUAGAGUAAGGAGAAAAGAAACAGAUGUAUUUUACUUAAAACCGUGGCGAGGAGGUUUGGGUCCUGGUGGCUCAGUCUCUGCCUUGACACAGGUGCUCCAACCCCCUCGGCACUAACUUGGCCCGUUUCCGUCACUGGCAUUUUAAGCUGCAGUGUUAGCGUAGAGAGCAUGCCAAGGCAGAGUGCUAUUUACAAGUCUGUAGGAAUUGGGCGAACCUGGAAAGUGAAAGCUGAGCAGCACAGCUCCCUCUGUGGGGGCCGCAUGUGGCAAGCACACCCUCUCCUCCAGUCUUCGCGCAGGUGACCCUAUUGUAUGAGUGACAUUUGUAGACAUUAACCUGAGACAGAGCUAAUACUUGAGGCCGCCAGGUCUAUAGGCUCCAAAGCCUGUGCAGCCCUUGAACUGUAAGCAGGAAAUCUCAAGCAGGACCUCAGGGUCCCCCACCGAAGCCGGGGUGGUGGACACAGCCUGGCUCAGGUGGGGCCAAGGGCGGGCCAAGGGGAUGGGUCCCUGGCCUGCCACGUGGAGAGGCCAAAGUCAGCACUUUGAUUUGAAAGCAUGCUUACUCUCUCUGCUAGUGUAGACUGCUAGAAUAUUUUGUGCUUCCAGAUUCUGGUGGUAGUACCACAGUAAACUCUAUAAAUGCAAAUGGCUUUGUAAACAGGUUAAGUCAUAUAGGAGCAGUAUACUAUACGCAAGUGUGUGUAAAUGUAUAUAUACUGCUUCCUGGUAAAGCCUUUUGAAAGUCUGUAUUGCAGUUAACACCAUGCUGUGUUCAAAUGACUAAGACUGUAGCUUUUGAUUUUUUUAAAGUAGGGUGAAUGAGGUUUGCAUUAUUAGGGCAAAAGCCCAAAGUCUGGACAGACACAUGCCAUCAAAACAAUGAAAUUUACAAAUGCACAGCUUUUACCUUUUGGCUGCUAUUUUAAAACAUGCAUUUUAAUUAGAAUCCAUUCAAAGCAAAACGUCAAAACAGUGUAAAGAGAGAAAUCUAUCUAUGACGUUUUAAGUAACAGGCUCGUUAUAAACUGUUUUGUGCAAGUGUCAUCAUGGAGAGUCAGAAAUAAGUGUUUGUUCCAAGGCCACUGUGAGUGGGUCUCUGAAGGAUUCUGGAGGUUUCUUUCGAGCACACUGCUUUUCUAGAUGUCCCCGAGGGUGCAGGGAGAGGGCUGCCUGAGUUGCUAGUCCAUCUGCUUAGCUGUUGGCAGCUCUGCUGUUUCACGAACGACCCAAUGAACAGAAGUCGGUCCAAGAAAGCCAGAGACUGGCGGGGUCUGGGAUCCGGUGCAGGCCCUGAAGUGCAGUGGGGGCUCCCCAUGUACCAGGUGGGUCAGCAGGGAGCCUAUCGCCAGGGAGGGAGGUGUUGGGCUCUGUUAUGUCCUGUGCUGAGUGCAGCCUGAGCAGAAAACGGUGGGUCCAGACCUGGGCAUCUCCCUCCCUGGCUGGCGGUGCCUUGGCUUUCGAGGGCCCACAGGGGCUCCUUGGCCUCUGGCGCUUCAGCUCCAGCCUGAUGGACGGACAGCUCCUGGGUCACCAGCAGCCUCCAGGCCUAUUGUCUGUUUUUGGCCUGGGGCUUCUUCUGAAGUCUUCAGAGCCUUCUCAGUGCACAGCCAGGGCUGCGGGAAGGGGUCCCACAGGCCCCCGACCGUGGAGAUCAGUGUCCCGCCUCCUGUCCUCCAAGAGUGCAGCCUCUGGUUUCCCAGCGCCACACUGAGCCCCGCUGCCCAGAUGGACACCAGUGGGCCCACCCUGACCAUCUCCUGCCUCCUCCAGAGCAGCUCCAAGUAACCUCCCUGCACCCAGACUCUAGACCCAGCCAACCAGGCGACCUCAUAUAGAAAUGGGUUUACUGAACCCAGUCCAGUAGGAAUCAAGCCUGGAAUCUCCUCUCCUUCUGUGACGAAAGUUUAUACCCGCCUUACCUUCACUGAGGGAUAUAAGUUUGGGGAAUAUUCUUUAAAAUUUCUCAAAUAUCUGCUGAAUAAGAGAUUAUAGAAUUUAUUCAAGAGCAUAAUGUGGUUUAUCAGUGACUAUUUGCUGUUUUAAGAGAAAGAAAUCCUUUUCUUACAGCUAUUUUCCUCCUUAUAGCUUUCUAAUCCCCUUUCCAAAAUAGUCUUAAAAAAUUAAUUCAGAAUCUAAAAUGGGUUUUAUGGGAGCUCC